CGGCAUAUAUACCGCGCGUCUCCCAGCACACAACGCGGAAGAUUAGUAAGUCGUAAGUAGUAAGUAAAUGUUUAGCGUCAGUUUAGUUCGCGUCAUAAUCAUAGUCAUAGUCAUAGUCAUAAGUUAGUUCGCGCUGGAUUCUCCGCUUCCAGUCCCUCGUUCUAGUUCGUGUCUUGUUUUGGUUAUCGACCUAGAUUCCUGCCUAGCCCCGUGUAUGCCUGUUUGCCAAUUGCCUGACCUCUUGCAUGUUUAUGGAUUACGUUUUGGAUCACGUUUUGGAUUUGUCUGCCUGCCUGUCUCUACAAAUAAACAACUGUUAUCCUGCACUUGCAUCCGCCUUAUCUCUGCUCCAUCACGAUUUGUGACAGAAUCUUCCGCCGAAACAUGGAUGCAGCAGGAGAAUGGAGGAGACGCAUAACCCGGAAGUCGACGCCAACCGUCCAUGCUAUGGACUCAGUCCACUUCCCACAAUGGACAAUUAUGGAGCUUCCUGAUCCAUUUGAUGGAUUUUUCGGUGCCCCAGAGUAUUUCCUGGUAGAUUGUCAAUUCUAUUUCUCCAGCCUGUCAGACCCUAAUCCAAAGGAGAAGCACUGGCUCCGAUUCAUGUGGUCCCGGUUCUUUGAACCGGCCCGUCAAUGGGUGCAGCUCAAACUGGAUAAGCACUGUAGGAACCUGGACAGUGUAGAACAGUUUGUGGGGGAAUUCAUGAUGCGAUUCGGGAGUCCCGGGGAAGGAGGAGCUAGAACAACUUCUCAGGGGGGUAAGUCUGGAAGGCGAACCUGCCCUGCCGUUUACCCACUACUACAGGCAACUUCAUGCAGAGCUCAACUCUGAGAUCCAAGUCAAGUCUCAAGUCCCUGAGAUCCAAGUCAAGCCUCCAGUCCCUGAGAUCCAAGUCAAUCCUCCAGUCCCUGAGAUCCAAGUCAAGCCUUCAGUCCCUGAGAUCCAAGUCAAGCCUCCAGUCCCUGAGAUCCAAGUCAAGCCUCCAGUCCCUGAGAUCCAAGUCAAGCCUCAAGUCAGGAAGGUCCAAGUCCCAGUCAAGUCUCAAGUCAGGAAGGUCCAAGUCCAAGUCAAGCCUCCAGUCCCUGAUAUCCAAGUCAAGCCUCCAGUCCCUGAGAUCCAAGUCAAGCCUCCAGUCCCUGAGAUCCAAGUCAAGCCUCCAGUCCCUGAGAUCCAAGUCAAGCCUCCAGUCAGGAAGGUCCAAGUCCAAGUCAAGUCUCACGUCCCUGAGGUCCAAGUCAAGCCUCCAGGCUCUGAAGCCCAAGCCAAGCCUCCAGGCUCUGAAGCCCAAGCCCAGCCUCCAGGCUCUGAUGCCCAAGCCCAGCCUCCAGGCUCUGACGUCCAAGCCCAGCCUCCAGGCUCUGACGUCCAAGCCCAGCCUCCAGGCUCUGACGCCCAAGCCAAG
ensembl:lncRNA